GAUGCAAACUGCGAAUACCGGAGAAUGUUAUCACGGGAGACACACGGCGGGUGCUAACGUCCGUCGUGAAGAGGGAAACAACCCAGACCGCCAGCUAAGGUCCCAAAGUCAUGGUUAAGUGGGAAACGAUGUGGGAAGGCCCAGACAGCCAGGAUGUUGGCUUAGAAGCAGCCAUCAUUUAAAGAAAGCGUAAUAGCUCACUGGUCGAGUCGGCCUGCGCGGAAGAUGUAACGGGGCUAAACCAUGCACCGAAGCUGCGGCAGCGACGCUUAUGCGUUGUUGGGUAGGGGAGCGUUCUGUAAGCCUGCGAAGGUGUGCUGUGAGGCAUGCUGGAGGUAUCAGAAGUGCGAAUGCUGACAUAAGUAACGAUAAAGCGGGUGAAAAGCCCGCUCGCCGGAAGACCAAGGGUUCCUGUCCAACGUUAAUCGGGGCAGGGUGAGUCGACCCCUAAGGCGAGGCCGAAAGGCGUAGUCGAUGGGAAACAGGUUAAUAUUCCUGUACUUGGUGUUACUGCGAAGGGGGGACGGAGAAGGCUAUGUUGGCCGGGCGACGGUUGUCCCGGUUUAAGCGUGUAGGCUGGUUUUCCAGGCAAAUCCGGAAAAUCAAGGCUGAGGCGUGAUGACGAGGCACUACGGUGCUGAAGCAACAAAUGCCCUGCUUCCAGGAAAAGCCUCUAAGCAUCAGGUAACAUCAAAUCGUACCCCAAACCGACACAGGUGGUCAGGUAGAGAAUACCAAGGCGCUUGAGAGAACUCGGGUGAAGGAACUAGGCAAAAUGGUGCCGUAACUUCGGGAGAAGG
rnacentral:rRNA from 1 species